CAAAUCCCUAUGCAGCAAAGCAAUAUCCUGCUCGUAUUUUAUUACUUUAUAAAGUUUACUAAUACAUGGCUUUCAAUGCCUAUUUCAAGAUCAUUUAUAAAUAUGUUAAAUGGAAACGGUCCCAAAACAGAACCUUGAGGGACACCACUUACCACUUUUAUCCAGCUUGAAAAUUUACCAUUAAUGACAACUUGUUGUACUCUAUCCUUAAGCCAGUGUUCUACCCAAGAACAAGAAUAUUCAUCUAGACCAAUUUCAUUAAUUUGAAGACUAACCUGUUAUGAGGAACUGUAUCAAAUGCCUUGGCAAAAUCCAAGUAGAUCACAUCCACUGCAACACCCUGAUCUUACUUCUUCGUAGAAUGCAAUUAGGUUAGUUUGACAUGACCCUUGUUUUAUAAAACCAUGCUGAUUAUUGCUAGUAACAAAGUUCUUCUC